ensembl:snoRNA SNORA65 small nucleolar RNA, H/ACA box 65
CCCGCCACUGUGCUUGCCUAUUUUCAGCCAUGGCUUGUGCAUUCCAGUGGUGAGCUGAGAGGAAAAAAACCCUUUCAAGGAAACAGAGCUAUUCUCUCCGUGGGUAACUCUGUGCCGAAGACUGGGAACAGAA